GACGGAGGAUGCAAGCGUUAUCCGGAAUUAUUGGGCGUAAAGCGUCCGCAGGUGGACAUACAAGUCUGCUGUCAAAGUGCAGAGCUUAACUCUGUAAAGGCGGUGGAAACUGUAGGUCUUGAGUAUGGUAGGGGUAGAGGGAAUUCCCGGUGUAGCGGUGAAAUGCGUAGAUAUCGGGAAGAACACCAGUGGCGAAAGCGCUCUACUGGGCCAUAACUGACACUGAGGGACGAAAGCGAGGGGAGCGAAAGGG
rnacentral:rRNA from 1 species